rnacentral:rRNA from 1 species
AUUGAACGCUGGCGGCAUGCCUUACACAUGCAAGUCGAACGGCAGCACGGGUGCUUGCACCUGGUGGCGAGUGGCGAACGGGUGAGUAAUACAUCGGAACAUGUCCUGUAGUGGGGGAUAGCCCGGCGAAAGCCGGAUUAAUACCGCAUACGAUCUACGGAUGAAAGCGGGGGACCUUCGGGCCUCCCGCUAUAGGGUUGGCCGAUGGCUGAUUAGCUAGUUGGUGGGGUAAAGGCCUACCAAGGCGACGAUCAGUAGCUGGUCUGAGAGGACGACCAGCCACACUGGGACUGAGACACGGCCCAGACUCCUACGGGAGGCAGCAGUGGGGAAUUUUGGACAAUGGGCGAAAGCCUGAUCCAGCAAUGCCGCGUGUGUGAAGAAGGCCUUCGGGUUGUAAAGCACUUUUGUCCGGAAAGAAAUCCUUGGCCCUAAUACGGUCGGGGGAUGACGGUACCGGAAGAAUAAGCACCGGCUAACUACGUG